GAGCUGGGGCGGAGUGCUUCCGGUGGGUGGUGCCGGUUUCUUGUAAACAAGGGGUUAGGGGUUCAAGUCCCCUCGCCGGCUCUCCA
rnacentral:tRNA from 1 species